rnacentral:rRNA from 1 species
AAUCUUCCGCAAGGGUCGCAAGUCUGACGGAGCCACGCCGCGUCAGUGAAGAAGGUUUUCGAAUCGUAAAGCUCUGUUGUUAGGGAAGAACAAGUGCCGUUCGAAUAGGUCGGCCCCUUGACUGUACCUAACCAGAAAGCCACGGCUAAUUACUUCCCAUCCGCCGCGGUAAUACGUAGGUGGCAAGUGUUGUCCGGAAUUAUUGGGCGUAAAGCGCGCGCAGGCGGUCUUUUAAGACUGAUGUGAAAACUUGCGGAUCAACCGCAAGCGGUCAUUGGAAACUGUGAGACUUGAGUGCAGAAGAGGAGAGUGGAAUUCCACGUGUAGAGGUGAAAAGCGUAGAGAUGUGGAGGAACACCAGUGGCGAAGGCGACUCUCUGGUCUGUAACUGACGCUGAGGCGCGAAAGCGUGGGGAGCAAACAG